rnacentral:misc_RNA from 1 species
UUAAGUUCAGCGGGUAUUCCUACCUGAUCCGAGGUCAACAUUUCAGAAGUUGGGUGUUUUACGGACGUGGACGCGCCGCGCUCCCGAUGCGAGUGUGCAAACUACUGCGCAGGAGAGGCUGCGGCGAGACCGCCACUGUAUUUCGGGGCGGCCCCGUGAAGGGCCGAUCCCCAACGCCGUACCCCCGGAGGGGUUCGAGG